CCUACGGUGCGCAGCAGUGGGGAAUAUUGCACCAUGGGGGAAACCCUGAUGCAGCAACGCCGCGUGAAGGCAGACGGUUUUCGGAUUGUAAACUUCUAUCAAUAGGGAAGAAAGACAUGACGGUACCUCAAUACGAAGCCCCGGCUAACUAGGUGCCAGCAGCCGCGGUAAUACGUAGGGGGCAAGCGUUAUCCGGAAUUACUGGGUGUAAAGGGAGAGUAGGCGGCAAGGUAAGCGAUAUGUGAAAGCCUUAAGCUUAACUUAAGGAUGGCAUAACGAACUAGCUAGCUAGAGUACAGGAGAGGAAAGCGGAAUUCCUAGUGUAGCGGUGAAAUGCGUAGAUAUUAGGAAGAACACCAGUGGCGAAGGCGGCUUUGUGGACUGAAACUGACGCUGAGGCUCGAAAGCGUGGGGAGCGAACAGGAUUAGAUAACCUAGUAGUC
rnacentral:rRNA from 1 species